ACCCGGUUAGCUGAAUCGGUAGAGCGUGAGACUCUUGAUCUCAAGGUUGCGGGUUCGACCCCCGCAUCGGGCU
rnacentral:tRNA from 2 species